CCUACGGGUGGCAGCAGUGAGGAAUAUUGGUCAAUGGACGAGAGUCUGAACCAGCCAAGUAGCGUGAAGGAUGACUGCCCUAUGGGUUGUAAACUUCUUUUAUAUGGGAAUAAAAUGUUCCACGUGUGGGAUUUUGUAUGUACCAUAUGAAUAAGGAUCGGCUAACUCCGUGCCAGCAGCCGCGGUAAUACGGAGGAUCCGAGCGUUAUCCGGAUUUAUUGGGUUUAAAGGGAGCGUAGGUGGAUUGUUAAGUCAGUUGUGAAAGUUUGCGGCUCAACCGUAAAAUUGCAGUUGAAACUGGCAGUCUUGAGUACAGUAGAGGUGGGCGGAAUUCGUGGUGUAGCGGUGAAAUGCUUAGAUAUCACGAAGAACUCCGAUUGCGAAGGCAGUUCACUGGACUGCAACUGACACUGAGGCUCGAAAGUGUGGGUAUCAAACAGGAUUAGAUACCCUUGGAGUC
rnacentral:rRNA from 1 species